rnacentral:rRNA from 1 species
UUGGCUCUCGCAUCGAUGAAGAACGCAGCGAAAUGCGAUAAGUAAUGUGAAUUGCAGAAUUCAGUGAAUCAUCGAAUCUUUGAACGCACCUUGCGCUCCUUGGUAUUCCGAGGAGCAUGCCUGUUUGAGUGUCAUUAAAUUCUCAACCUCACCAGUUUUUUCUGUGUGAAGGCUUGGAUGUGGAGGUUUAUGCAGGCUGCCUCAGCGCGGUCUGCUCCUCUG